GCUGCGGCGGGUGUCGGAGCCGGCGCCGGGGGGGGCUAGGUGCCGCUGCUGGCCUGUCUCGGCAGCCGGAAGGAGAGGAAGGAAGUAGCAGCAGUAGGAGGCGCCUCGGAACUCGCCGCCGGGCCAGGCGCCCUCGCUUCGCUCCUCUCCUCCCCCAGCUCCGGUGCGAGCCGCCACCGCCGGAGACCAUGAGCCUGAACGAGCACUCGAUGCAGGCGCUGUCCUGGCGGAAGCUUUACCUGAGCCGGGCCAAGCUGAAAGCCUCCAGCCGCACCUCUGCGUUACUCUCAGGGUUCGCGAUGGUGGCUAUGGUGGAGGUUCAGCUAGAAACCAAUUAUCCCUACCCUCCAGGUCUCUUGAUAGCUUUCAGUGCCUGUACUACUGUGCUUGUUGCUGUUCACCUCUUCGCUCUCAUGAUAAGUACCUGCAUUCUUCCAAAUAUAGAGGCUGUUAGUAAUGUGCACAAUCUCAACUCUGUAAAGGAGUCUCCGCAUGAGCGUAUGCAUCGGCAUAUUGAGCUCGCCUGGGCAUUUUCCACUGUCAUUGGGACUUUGCUCUUCCUUGCAGAGGUGGUGCUGCUGUGUUGGGUGAAAUUUCUUCCACAAGGGAUGCCUUGCAGUAAUCCAGUCUGUGACAAUUCUACUAUCACCCCAGGAGCAGGAACAGCAGCAGCCAUUGCCUCAACAUCUAUUAUGGUUCCUUUUGGAUUGAUUUUCAUUGUGUUUGCAGUCCACUUCUAUAGGUCACUGGUGAGCCACAAAACAGACAGGCAAUUUCAAGAAUUGAAUGAACUUGCUGAGUUUGCACGACUCCAGGAUCAGCUGGACCACAGAGGCGACACCUUGCCUCCUUCUGGCAGCCAUUUUGUAUAAAACUGUAUUUUGUUUAAAAAUCCACUUUUUGUUUCUGCCUUGCUAUGUUGACUCCCCUCUGCAUAAGCUAGCUGGACUGGGAUUGAUUUUAAAGAGAGAUUAAGUACUGUGCUAAUUUCUUACAGUAAAAAAAUACCAUGACAUCUUAGACAUCUAACGAGAUUGAUGUUGGGGUAUGGCUGCACUGAGCAUGCAUCUCUCAUCCUUCCUCUUAUCGUCUGGAUUGUUUUUUUUAAUGUUGAAUGGUGAAUAUAUUAAUGGAUAAGAGGAGUUGAAAGUUAGUAUAUUCCCACCCCUAACAUAUACUUUGGUAUAUGUUAGGUGUGGGAGGGAAGCCUUAGUUCUCUCUCUUUGAUGUUGGUGUUGGCUAGAAAGUAUUGCUGGUCCAAUACAUGUUGCAUGGCACAAUACAAAUUACUUGGGACAUGUAGUAAUUAGCAUUUGGUUUCACUGCUAAUGCAGUGAUCUCUAAAAGUCUGAUGAAAGGUAAAAUUGAGAGCUUUUCCACCUUCCCUUUUCCCACUAGAUCCCCCAAUCAUGUUUUUCUGCCAAGUAAUUAUUGCUUUACUAAUUUCUAUAGGGCAUUUUUCAUGGCAGCUAUAAAUUCUUACUCUCCAGAUACUCAUGACCAGUCCUAUUGUGAUGUGAUCUGAUCUGCAUCUGUAGGACUGGGGCCCUAACUUUACUCUUCUUUUGGGAAGAAAAUACAGAGAAAAGCAAUACCUGCUUUAAUGUUCGUGGGAGCAGAUAUGUUAUCAGAAGUGAUAAAAUUGCCUGUUUUCAUUGAGGAAUCAUUUUGAAAAGAAAAAAUAGAUGGAGAAGCUACCACUAGAUUUUUUUUCUCCUUGCUCGAAAACUUGCCAUUCAGGGCUUUUCUCUAGCAAUAACAUACACUGGUAGAGACUUAACCACAGUAGAACUACUGCUAUGGUUCCAAACCAAAGUAGCAAAUAUUUUAUACUUUUUAUAUAUUAAAUAUAUUUUUGAAUAAAUUCUCAGAUACAAAUGAUAAAAGGCGCUUUGUGUGUGUGGGAAUUCCAAGUAAUUAGCUGUACCUUGAUCUUGUUUGGUAGAAAAAUCUUCUGCUUGCUCAAAUAUUGCAUUUAAGAUGUUAAAAUCUUAAUUACAUGUGAUUUUUGCUUCCAAAAUGUAGUGGAAGACCACUUAUUGCUAUACAGACUUAUUUAUGAAAACAAAUGAUUUUUAUUUUAAGUAGUAUUGCUUCUUAAUUGUAAGACAUAUGCAUCUUUUAUUGAAUUAAGCUAUUGUUUUAGUCUCAAGCUAUUGUGUCAAAUUCUAACUUCUUCCUCGAGCAAAAACUCACACUUGACAAGGAUUAUAGGAUUUGGCUUCAACUCUUUCAGAAUUUGUGUGACUCUAGAUACAUUAAAAAAUGAAUGUUGGCUUUUGGACAGCAUUUCUGCUACCUUCACUGAAGGAUGGAAAUGGGUGGGUUAGUUGGUGAAAAAUCUCUUUGAACCCAGAAACUACCAGUUUCUGAUAUGUUCAGCUCCCAUGGAACAGAAUUGGGAUCUCAGCUCGUAGCUGCUAAUAUAGAAUGUAAUCCUGUAAUUUUGUGAUGGAGGUAACAAAUUCAGUUGUGGCCUAAUCGGAGCUGUGCCUCUUUGACUUUAAGUGAAGCUGUGCAUGCUUAUGCCUACAUUGAAUGUAGUCAAUUAUACCUGACCUCUUUAAUAGACGUAUUCAACAUGCUUUACAAAUGAAGGUCCUAAUUUUGCAAAACUGGCUCCUGAGAGUAGUACUUACUAUGAUGAGUAGUCUCACUUGCAUCAAUGCAACUGACUUAUUAGUGCAAGCACUACACCCAGUAAAAUGAGUUAACAAGACAAAGUGCCGUUUAUAUUCUGAAAAAUUACUUUAAAAAUUGUAUCCAAGUGCUGUGCCUAUAUCUGAGUGACAUAUUUGCUCCUAUUAUGCUCUGUUCACGAGCAAAAAAUAGUUUUUGAGUUGCCAUCCCCAAAAAGUCCUGGAUAUGAAAGUCAAACAGAAAUUCUCUCUGGUUUUGACAUUAACAGUUGUUUUUUUUGCAGCUGAAAUAUAAUAGUUGGUGAGCAGAAUUCCACUCACUGUUCCACAACUGUUUGUUCCUGCAGAGCUAAUGGAAUUAAAUUAGUAAAAACUUUAGUAAAUGGUAUUCUGAAAGAGUCAUGAAAUACCUUCCUUACCCUGGGAAAGUAGACUUUUAGAAAGCUGUGGUAAAGUAAGCAUACUGGAGCAAUAUCUUAAAGGGACACUAUCAAGUUUAAAUAACAUUACACUUUUCUGAAAGCCUUGUACCUUACAACUUAUUUAUAACUCUUAAAAAUUACUAUAGAUGAAAGAGGAUAGUAAAUAAAUAAAUACAUAUUUUUUGGUGUGUAGAAGGGGGUCACUUUAAUUAUUUCUCCUGGAUUGGUCACUUUUCCCCUAUUCUAUGAGUCUUUCACAAAGCAACAGCAGACAAAAACUUUUAAAAAUAGAAAAUGUGGGUUUGUAAAAGUACAAGGGAAACAGGGCACUUUAUUAAUUUUUUUUAAGAUGUUUGGAUUCCUUUUAAAUUAGAGCUAUUACUAGUCAUUUUUCUGACCAUAACUGCCCUCUAAGCCUUUAGGCACAGCUCAUGUAUGUAUUUUCCCCAUUCUUCAGCUGAGGAAAUGAACACAAAAGAUGUGCCUUGUGCAGGAUCAUAUAUUAACUGCAUGGCAGAGACAGAAAGACCAGAACUCAUGAUGUCAAGUCUGUUCUGCAAACAGUAGAGUGCACUCAAUUUUAUUUUGAUCCCUUGUUAUACUAAUGGUAUUAAGCAUCUACUUAAAACAGUUUAAACACCAGUUACUGUAUAUAUUACAUUUAUAUGUAACAUUGAAAUAAAACAUGCUUAUAAUUUGUCUUGCCACCAAGACAUCUGACA